rnacentral:rRNA from 1 species
AGCAGUCGCCGCGGUAAUACAGAGGGUGCGAGCGUUAAUCGGAAUUACUGGGCGUAAAGCGCGCGUAGACGGUUUUGUAAGUCAGAUGUGAAAUCCCUGGGCUCAACCUGGGAACUGCAUUUGAAACUGCAUGGCUAGAGUAUCGAAGAGGGAAGUGGAAUUUCCGGUGUAGCGGUGAAAUGCGUAGAUAUCGGAAGGAACACCAGUGGCGAAAGCGACUUCCUGGUCGAAUACUGACGUUCAUGUGCGAAAGCGUGGGGAGCAAACAGGAUUAGAUACCCCAGUAGUCCCUGUCUCUUAUAC